ensembl:snRNA U1 U1 spliceosomal RNA
CUACUAACCUGGCAGGGGAGACACCAUGAUCAGGAAGGUGGUUUUUCCAGGACGAGGCUCAUCCAUUGCACUUGGGCUGUGCUGACCCCUGCCAUUUCUCCAAAUGUGGGAAACUUGACUGCAUAAUUCGUGGUAGUGAGGGACUGCAUUUGGGCUCUCCCUUG